rnacentral:lncRNA from 1 species
GAGGAUGAUUCCGUUCUUCAGGAAUACCUGAUCUUUCUGGCACUUGCAGAAGAUAAUUGCCUUGAAACAGGUAAGUGUCACGUCUCUCUGCAGAGCCCAACAUUGCUGUGAGUGAGCUGUGUCCCCUGGGUGCCUCCUUCAGGAAGCCAGGCGUGCCUAGGUAGGGUGACACAAGCAGUGCAUCCUGGCCCUGAGAGUCUCUAACUUGGCAACCCUCACUCUCCUCUGUGGAGCUAGGGUUCACGAUGAGUUUCACAGUCCUAUUUGCUUUCUUCCAGGAGUUUCUGGUCUCCUGUGCACCUCUGGCUGCCCUAGUGGAUAUUUAUUUUAUAGUGUGGAGUUUUUCCAUUCAGGUAUUCUUGACCUGGUUUUUAACUAAAGGUAGCCUUCCUGGAUCAAUCACAUCCCUGAAAGCAUAUAUUUCAUAAGAAACACUUUCUUUAACAACGUCUUAAAUUCUUUAUAGACUAUGUUUGCACACUGUUACCUUUCUCCAGGAGGGUUUACCUUACAAAACGUCAGCAUGGGGUUUCAAGAUGCAAAUAUGUCUAAGGCUACCACAUACUGUUUGAGCCUUGAGACCAUGCACAUAUUUGAACUGGCCGGAUUUGGGGGCACACCAUGCCCACAUCCUGUUUGAUCCUAUCCAGGUCCUUGCGACAGCUGGGUGGUCAGUGCCAUGUGCCAUUCUCCUGGCGGCUGGGAGAUGCUGCCCGGGGGAGGCUGCCUGGGGUACCCGCGGCCACCCUGAGGGAGCUCCUUUACAAGCUGUGGGCACAGCCAACCCCGCUGGCAAGUGGCUUUCAGCUAAAGGGAAAAUGGGAUCCUGCGUUAGCCUAGCUUUCCCCAGUCCCGAAUCCACCCCAGCUGGAAUGACAUGAUUGAACUGCAUUUGGCAACCGUCCAGGGAACCAGGACCACAGCUCCCACUUUUGUUUGCAUGCAGAGCUUUUCCCAUCCUGGUGACAUCUGCUUGCCAAAGUUGAGCAGGUGGGGGUUGAUCAUUGAAAAAGAAAACACUAUUAUACGCUAUGGAACUGGACUGAGGGCUUGCAGUGACAGCCAUCACGCCCAGAGGAUGCUCAGCCUAUUUGUCAAGUUCAAGUGGAUGGCGCAUGUGUGGAAGAAGGGAAGGAAGUGGAUGGAGAAAUGGGCUGCAGAAGCUGGGACCCAGCCAAAACCAGUCUAG